GGUCCAGGACGGACCGAAACGUCGUCGUCCCUUCACGUUCUAGUGUGUGGUCUGGUCAACCUACUCAAUGCAGCUCUUGUGCCUGUUGAGCAAGGUGCCUGUGACUGUGCUCUUGAUCCAGCACCAUCCCAACAAUCACACAAUCUAACAACAACGGUGUGGUGAUGUUGCUGCAAUGUUGCAGUUAUGUUUUUGCAAUGUUGUGUCUAUGAGCUACAAUUUGGUGGGUUUUAUAUUGCAAAUAUGUUACUAUAAUGUUGUGCACUUACUUCAGAGUUGAGGUUUUAUGUUGUUGCAAUGUUGCAGUUAUAUUACCACAAUGUUGCAGUUACGUUGUCACUAUGUUGUGGUUUUGUAUUGUUGCAAUGUUAUGUUGCUAUAGUGUUGUCAUUUUAUGUUGUUGCAGUUUUGCCAAUACUUCUACAGUGUUGUAGUUUUAUGUUAUUACAAUGUUGUAGCUGCAUUGCCACAAAUGUUGUGGGUUUGUAUUGUUACAGUUAUGGUGCCACACUGUUGUAGAUUCGUUGUUGCAACAUUGUAUUUAAUUGUGGCAACAUUGUAUUUAAUUGUGGCAUUAAUGUGGUUAUAUUGUUGCAUGGUUGUGAUUACAUUGUUCCAACGUUGUGAUUUUUCACCAACGUUGUGGUUGGGUUGUGUGUUUGUUGGGGGUAACCAAACCACAACAUUCCAACAUCAUUAUUACAUUGCUGUAAUUUAGAAAAAAAGUUGUGGUAACGUUGUGUGGUAAUAGGGUAAGACUUUCUUGAUUGUCUUCAUACAUUCAAUCUAUAUAAAAGUCAAAUUUUACACAAGAUUUAAUCAUUCAUUAAAAGUGCUGGUGACUGUGUUAAUAUGUUAAGGAUCCUAUGGCUGGACGGUGAUCUAUGUCCUCGGCUCACAACUGUAUGGCCCAAGUUCAGUUCUUAUGCAGGACAAACGGUUGGGCACAUUUCCUCUUACCUAAUACACCUGUUCAUCUAACGGUAAAAUAGGUACCCAGGAGUAAGGCAACUAUAGUGGAUUGCAUUCUGGUGAAGGUCAGUAGCUGGCCUUGGGGAACCACGAUAAGCCUAAGAACAGACUUAUUGUCACCCGACAAUAUAAUGUCAUCCCGCAUAUUUGGGGUUUCCAAUCCAACCCAACCCAUUCUCUCCAUUCGCCGCUCCGUCCAAAAUGCAACUGUUUUGCCUAAUCAGGAAUGUAUGAACCCAAGCAACAUAUCCAACCUAUGGAUGCCAGUGUAUAGGAAACAUCAACAUUGUGACAAUUUUUAUAUUUCUAAUACAUCACAUUUUAACGAAUUAGUCAAUUCCGUAAUAAAUGCGACAUCUUGGGUGAGAGGAACAUAAUAAUUGCGACAUCUUAGGUGAGAGGAACAUAAUAAUUGCGACAUCUUAGGUGAGAGGAACAUAAUAAUUGCGACAUCUUAGGUGAGAGGAUGGGUUGUCCAGUCGUCAAGUGCGACCAGUGGUCACAGAGAUCAAGACUGUUUAGCACUAAAGUAUAUGGAGUUAUUAUAUCAUCCAGAUGAUUAUCCCACCUAACCACAACGUUCCAACAAUGUUAUCACAUUGCUGCAACUUGAAAAAAACAUUGCUGUUAUGUUGUAUGUUUGUUGGGAUAUACCUUUAUUUAUACAACUUGUAAGACAUAACUUGUGCACUUGCCACGACAAUAACAGCCUUUGCUUUCUGGGUUCAUUAAUAAAAUUGUCAAAAAUUACAUUAAAUCA
rnacentral:lncRNA from 1 species